rnacentral:rRNA from 1 species
AUGUCUUCAUGGUGCUUUCGGAGGGGCAGGGCCCCUGAGGAAAAGUGGUGGUUGGGGAGGAGGACGCCCUUGUCCUUGGUGUCCGGGCCGCCAUGGCUGACGCCGGAGCCGUUGGUUGGCCUUGAGGUCAUCCGUCGUUGGCGUCCUCGUCAUCCAUCCAACCACCAGGUCCUCGAUCCAUCUGCGGCCGCUGCACCUCCACAGUACGGCCGCCGCCUUUUUGUUUCCCUCUUGUGUUCAUCAUCUCAGAAUUUUGUUGGCACUGGAUCAUGCAGGGAGGAGAUUCCUGAGGCAUUUGAUUCUUGUGGGAUCCCAACACAUCUUGCAAGAUCAACAACAAGUGGCUGGGCCUCUACAUUAUUCAGAAAAGCUAUUUUUAUCUUUCAUUUAUUUGUCUAA